rnacentral:lncRNA from 1 species
AGUGAAUUUGUCUAAAUUGAGGUUAAUUAUGAAAGAGGAUUAAAUUGCAAUAGAGAUAAAAGUUUAAUUAUAGAUUAAAGAAAAAUUAAAAGGACCAAAUAGAAAAUUAUGCCUUUUUCUAAAAUUGAGGCGGCAUAAGAAAAGAAAAAUCUGAGAUAUUUUUAAUUUAAAAUAUAUAUUAUAUUAUACAUGCGUAAGUAAUAAGUAUGUUUUUAUAUUAUAUUAUUAUAAAUAUAUUAUAUUAUAUUAUAUUAUAUUAUAUAUAUAUAUAUAUAUAAGACAAAAGAAAGAAGAGAAAAAGAGAACAGAAACAGAAUUGAAAAACGAAACAGAGAAGAACAGGGGAGAAAGAAAGAAAGAAAAGAAAAAGGGGAAAAUUGAGGUUUCAAGGUUCCAAGCUCAAUUGGUAAGUUAAAUUAAGUCAUUUUCUUAUAAUUUUUUAGUUUUUGGAAUCCUAAAACAAAGUAUUAUUGGAUUUAUGUUGAAAUUUUGUAAGAUAUUUUAUUUUUAGACAUGAGUUAUGUUGAAUUAAUUGAUGAAUUAGAGGUUAAAAUGAUUGAAUUUCAAGUUAGAAGUUAGUAAAGGAUUUAAUUGUAAAAUGAAGUGUAAGUUUUGAAUAGUAGGGACUAAAUUGAAAGAAUCCCGAAAUUAGGGAUUUAUGGUGAAAUUGAAGAGCUAAAUUGAGUUUAUAGUAAGAAUUAAGAGAGAAUAUGGAGUUAGAAUGAGAAAAUAAAAUUAGUAUUGAUAAAUGAUUAAAUUAGAAUUUAGGUAAAGUUUAGGUAUAAAUGGAAAUAUUUUAAUGAAAUUGUGUAUUAAUGAUUUUUAAUUGUUUAAUUACGUAGCUAAUGUCGUGCAAGAGUCAUUGUCCGAGAAAGGAAAGGAGAAGGUGAACAAGGAGUGACUCGAGAGAAAUUUCGGUUAGUAUUACCAUAAUUCGAAUUUAAUCAUUAAUUGAUAAAUUUUAAAUUAAUAUACAUGAUAAACAAAUUGAGGUAAGUAUCACGAUUGAAUUGAAUGAUAAAUACAUAUUGUUAUUGAAUUUAUUAAUAGCAAUUGUUGAAUUUUGAAUAAUAUGUUUAGUAAAUAAAAAUAAGGUGAAUAUUGAUAUGGAAUUGUAUGUGAAUUGAAUGGAAAUUACUAGUGAUAUAAUUUGAAUUAAAAGAUUUAAUGUGGUAUUGAAAUGUAUGUUGAAUGUAAAAUAAUUAGUGAUUUGAAUUUGUUUGGAAAAUGAAUUAAAAUAUGAAUUGAAUAAAAGUGAAUUAAAUUAUGAUUAUGUGUGAAUAUGUGAAUUGUGAAUUGAUAUGUGAAUUGGAAAUCGAGAUAUGAGAUUUGAAUAUAUGUGAAUAUGUGAAUUGUGUAUUGAUUGAAAAGUGGUUUGAAUUGAAUCGAAGUAUGAUUAUAUGUGAAUAUCUGAAAUAUGUAUUGGUAUUGAAUUGUAUAUUGAUUUGAAAGUGGGAAGUGAAUCUGAGUUGAAUUGUGAUUGAAUCGAAAGUGAAUUUGAAAUAGAAAAAUGAUUUGAAAACCCUAUUAACUAGUCGGGCUGAGUCGAAUAUAGUUGGCAUGCCAUAGGAUUGGAAGUGUUUAGGGAUACUUCGACCUUGAGUCGAUGAGACACUGGGUGUCAUACUGUUACUUCGGAUAGAUUCAAUGAGGUACUGGGUACCAACUUACUUCGGCUUGACCGAUGAGACACUGGGUGUCACUUUAUUGCUUCGAACUAUCCGAUGAGGCACUGGGUGCCAUUCUGGUGUGUUUGGUUGGAUCCGUGUAUCCGCUAAGGUCCGAGUCAAGUUAAUAGGGGUAAAUAAAUAGUUUUGAUAAUAUAAAUUUUAUUGAAUGAUCUUGAAUAUGAAUUGAAAUAAGAUAUUAAAUUGAGAUAUGGAAAUGAAAUGUAUGAACCAUGGGUUCAAGAAAUAGAUAAUGAUAUAGUUCAUGAAAUGGUUUUGGUAGUAUGAGAUGAUGUAAAAAUAUAAGUAAAGAAAAGCAAAUUGAAAUAGCUAUUGUUGAGAAAUGAGAAGUGAAAAUAAAAUGAUUUGAAAUAGUGAAAUAAUAUGUGAAUUUAAUUGAAUACAAAUUAUUGAAAUUUAUUUAUGGAUUUAAUGUAUAAAUUGAGUGUUAAAAGAUUAUAAGUGUAAAAUUGAAUAUAAAUAGAAAGGAUAACGAAUGAGUUGAUGAAAUGAUUUUGUAUAGAUUGGAAUGAGUUAUUAGAAUGAGAUGUUGAAAAAUCCAAUAAAAUUUAGAUAGUGAAACAAGGUAUGAAAACAAUUAAAUAUAAGAUUGAAAUAUUGCUUAUUGUUAUUAAUGAUCAAGUUGAUUUAAAGUAUGAGACAAUUAACGAAUAAUUGUAGACAUAAAUUAAAUGUAUAUAAAUUAUCGAUUAAUGUUAUUAAUUUUAAUUAUGGUAAUACCACUGAGUAUUCCUAUACUCAGCGUACGGUUGUUUCCGUGCGCAGGUUAGUAGAAAACCAGUGUUCGGUUCAGCAUCCAGAGCAAUCCCGACCUCAAAGAUAUUUUAGUGAUGUACUUUUCUUUUGAUAACGUGGCAUGUACCUAAGUGAUGUAUAGGGAUUUAGUUAUUUCGUAUGUUUGUAAUUAUGAUUUUGCUAUAGAAAGAUGUGUAAGUAUUUGAUGAUGAAUGGUUGUUUAAAUGGUCAAGGAUGAAGAUGUUUGUUGUUAUAAAGGUCUAGGUGAUAAAUUAUGUAUGGAAAUCAUGAAAGGGUAAAAUUUUGCAAAGAAACAGAAUUCAGGCAGCAGCAGUGAUGUAACUUUGAAAAAUCACCUAGGAUAGUAUAAAAUUAAUUAGAGGGUGAAUAAUAUAUGGAAUUAAAGCUUGUUGAGUCUAUUUUCAUGGAAAAAUAACGGUUUAACAAAAGGAAUUUUAUAUUUU